rnacentral:rRNA from 1 species
AGUGAACGCUGGCGGUAGGCCUAACACAUGCAAGUCGAACGGCAGCACAGUAAGAGCUUGCUCUUACGGGUGGCGAGUGGCGGACGGGUGAGGAAUACAUCGGAAUCUACUUUUUCGUGGGGGAUAACGUAGGGAAACUUACGCUAAUACCGCAUACGACCUACGGGUGAAAGCAGGGGAUCUUCGGACCUUGCGCGAUUGAAUGAGCCGAUGUCGGAUUAGCUAGUUGGCGGGGUAAAGGCCCACCAAGGCGACGAUCCGUAGCUGGUUUGAGAGGAUGAUCAGCCACACUGGAACUGAGACACGGUCCAGACUCCUACGGGAGGCAGCAGUGGGGAAUAUUGGACAAUGGGCGCAAGCCUGAUCCAGCCAUACCGCGUGGGUGAAGAAGGCCUUCGGGUUGUAAGGCCCUUUUGUUGGGAAAGAAAAGCAGCAGGUUAAUACCCCGCUGUUCUGACGGUACCCAAAGAAUAAGCACCGGCUAACUUCGUG